rnacentral:rRNA from 1 species
AUUGAACGCUGGCGGCAUGCCUUACACAUGCAAGUCGAACGGUAACGGGCCUUCGGGUGCCGACGAGUGGCGAACGGGUGAGUAAUGUAUCGGAACGUACCUUUCAGUGGGGGAUAACGUAGCGAAAGUUACGCUAAUACCGCAUAUUCUGUGAGCAGGAAAGCAGGGGAUCGCAAGACCUUGCGCUGAUUGAGCGGCCGAUAUCAGAUUAGCUAGUUGGUGAGGUAAAGGCUCACCAAGGCGACGAUCUGUAGCGGGUCUGAGAGGAUGAUCCGCCACACUGGAACUGAGACACGGUCCAGACUCCUACGGGAGGCAGCAGUGGGGAAUUUUGGACAAUGGGGGCAACCCUGAUCCAGCCAUGCCGCGUGAGGGAUGAGGGCCUUCGGUGUAACUACUUCGUCUGGUUGAAGGCCGAUGCUUUGGUUGUGGUUGUAUUUGUAACUGGUAAAGAAGUAACGGCGUAACUACGUGCCAGCAGCCGCGGUAAAGU